AUGGAGGAACACAAAACGGUGUCCAUCUGUACUACGGUUGCGGAUCAAGGGACACAGGUGUUUGAUAUCAUGGGUUACAGCAAGCACAGGGGCAUGGGCAACGACGAAGACAGCCACAUACGGUCUGGGAUUUUCGCUGUAGGCGGGUAUGACUGGGCCAUCCACUUUUAUCCUGAUGGGAACGGCAGUGCAUGCCCAGAUUACAUCUCAGUGUUUCUCGACCUUUUAAGCAACAACGCUAAAGCCCGGGCGUCCUGCGACCUGAGAACAGGGCCAAGGAUUUUCAACUCCAAUGAUGUCACUAAGUUUGCUCCACAAUUUUCUUCUUUCAAAAGGCGAAGCAAGAUUGAGGACUCCGCAUACCUUCUGGAUGAUCGCCUGUCGAUCAAAUGUAUCAUCACUGUUUUCAAGAAGCCACAUGUUACCCAAGCCAAUUCGGUCCCCCAAAUCCCCAAAAUUGACAUGCCACCAUCUGACAUGACCGAGAAUGUUGGCAGGCUGCUGGAAAAAAGGAAGGGAUAUUAUGUCCGUUUCAUUGUUGGAGGAGAGAUCAUUGAAGCUCAUAGGUUUGUGCUCGCUAUGCGGUCACCUGUUCUUAAAGUUGAGCUCUACGGGCCGAUGAGGGAGGAAAGGCCGGGGAAGUGCAUUAACAUCAAGGACAUGCAGCCUGCCAUCUUCAGGGCCCUGCUCCAUUUCUUCUACACCGAUUCUUUGCCUGGCAGUGAGGACCGUAAGGGAGGCGAUGAUACCGAAAUGGUCCGGCUUCUACUAGUGGCCGCGGACAGAUAUGCCAUGGAGAGGCUUAAGAUGGUUUACCAAAGCAUUCUUUGCAAGGAUCUGAAUGCGGAAACUGUGUCAACCACAUUGGCUUUAGCUGACCAACAUAACUGCAUCAAACUUAAGGAUGCUGGCCUUGAAUUUAUCAAAAUACUAGAUGAGAAUGUGAUGGAUGCCGUGGUGGCAACCCAAGGCUUCAAGGAUCUCAAUGUGACUUGCCCAUCUCUCAUAGUGGAAGCAUUGGAGAAGAGAAGGAAGUUUCGUAAGGCAUGA
rnacentral:rRNA from 1 species